GACGAACGCUGGCGGCGUGCUUAACACAUGCAAGUCGAACGGUGAGGCCCUUCGGGGUACACGAGUGGCGAACGGGUGAGUAACACGUGGGUGAUCUGCCCUGCACUUCGGGAUAAGCCUGGGAAACUGGGUCUAAUACCGGAUAGGACCACUGCCUGCAUGGGUGGUGGUGGAAAGUUUUUGGGGGGUGGGAUGGGCCCGCGGCCUAGCAGCUUGUUGGUGGGGUGGUGGCCUACCAAGGCGACGACGGGUAGCCGGCCUGAGAGGGUGACCGGCGACGCUGGGACUGGGAUACGGCCCAGACUCCUACGGGAGGCAGCAGUGGGGAAUAUUGCACAAUGGGCGCAAGCCUGAUGCAGCGACGCCGCGUGAGGGAUGACGGCCUUCGGGUUGUAAACCUCUUUCAGCACCGACGAAGCGCAAGUGACGGUAGGUGCAGAAGAAGGACCGGCCAACUACGUGCCAGCAGCCGCAGUAA
rnacentral:rRNA from 1 species